rnacentral:precursor_RNA from 10 species
AUGGCCAAAAUUCAAGAGAAUGUAACAGUCUGGCAGUGCAUGUUAGCUGGCUGUUGUGUCUGAUGUGUCAACAGCUGCUAGCUGUGCUCCACAUUGUUUCAUUCAAAAGCACCGUAGAAAACU